CCCGGAUUUGUUACCUCCGGGGUGGGGCCCCGGGGCCUGGGCACACGCGGGGCUCUCGCCUGUCCGGUAGUCCGGCGACGGGGACAUCGCCUAUUUGUGAAGCGGAUGAAAUCAGAGAUCAAAAAGUAGCAAGAAGCAGGAUAAUGCCAAUGUUAGCAAGGACGGAGAUGUGGCCGGCGCUGUGUCCAGGAUGAUAAUGAAUUCAAGGUAUGUGUCAGAUGGGAAGAUUUGACUUUCCAGGCAUAAUCCCAGAAACAGUUCUUGGCCAAGGAUGAGGACUCUAACCUGACUGGAUAUGCUGCUGUGAUGGGUUAAAGGAUUUACCUGAGGCCAACAG
rnacentral:lncRNA from 1 species